rnacentral:rRNA from 1 species
AUUGAACGCUGGCGGCAUGCUUUACACAUGCAAGUCGAACGGCAGCGCGGGCUUCGGCCUGGCGGCGAGUGGCGAACGGGUGAGUAAUACAUCGGAACGUGCCCAGUAGUGGGGGAUAGCUCGGCGAAAGCCGGAUUAAUACCGCAUACGACCUGAGGGUGAAAGCGGGGGAUCUUCGGACCUCGCGCCAUUGGAGCGGCCGAUGGCAGAUUAGCUAGUUGGUGCGGUAAAGGCCUACCAAGGCGACGAUCUGUAGCUGGUCUGAGAGGACGACCAGCCACACUGGGACUGAGACACGGCCCAGACUCCUACGGGAGGCAGCAGUGGGGAAUUUUGGACAAUGGGCGAAAGCCUGAUCCAGCAAUGCCGCGUGUGUGAUGAAGGCCUUCGGGUUGUAAAGCACUUUUGGCGGGAACGAAAAGGACUGUGCCAAUACCACGGUUCGAUGACGGUACCCGCAGAAUAAGCACCGGCUAACUACGUG